CAGGUUCUGCAAGACAAGUACGGUCUGUAAUUCUCGCUAUCUAUGGCUAUUAAAUUAGGAAUACAUCGAAUAGACCAUAUAAAAUUUGCUCUCGUGAAGUUAGUAAUUCUGAAAGACAUGAUGGUUAGUUAUUGUUAGUAUAUUGUGAAAUAAACAAAAUCAUAAUUUAAAGUGCUGUGGUUGUGAUACAAUGGUUUUUUUUUAAACAAGGUCAGGGUUCCUAUCAGAAACGAUGAUGUAAAAAUGAGUGCUCUUAAUCUACAUACAAGUCAUCAAACCUCACCAAAAUAAGACAGGCAGUUCGGCAAGCUGGCGGCCCUCCAGGAUGCGGCUCGCGCGCCCUCGCUAGCUCCGCGCACAAAACGCCACGUCGCUACAAUUACAGGUGAGAACAUCAACACAUCAAAAAAUUUUGCAGUCAUAAUUAAUGCGACAUAAUGUUCCUGUGAAGUACUUCUUUUCUUUAAGUUUAAAGAAUAUUUUCCGCUUAUACUUAAUUAUUUUAAGUUUUUUUAAUAUUAUGUAUUUUAGGUAUUAAUCAAUAGAGUAAGAAAAAUUCAUAUUCUAUUUACAUUGUUGUAUGAUAAUGUUUGAUUGUUACAAAACAUUACUAGAAUUAUUAAAUGCUACAAGGUAUCAUAUUCAAUUUAUUCUUGAGAUUUCUAGAAAGUAUAUGUACCAUUUUUACUUAGAUCCUGUUUGAAUAAUCAAUUUGGUCUUAAGCCAGAUUUAUGUUAACUAUUUAUAUUGAGCAGAUCGAUUUGAAUGAUGUGAAAUAUUGAUAAUGUUUGUCUUAUGCGUUAAAUAUGCCUACCUGGUUUCGUUCAAUUUACUAAAAUAUUAUGACAAUCUCAAAAAAUUUACAGUAAAACUAAAAC